rnacentral:lncRNA from 1 species
CACCGGGUUAGUAACCAACCCACAAAACCAGAAUACGUGACUCACAAACCCCACACAAAUCCCAAAUAUCAGUUUCCCAAAAUCGAUCACCGUAACUCGCCGGAAGCCCUGAAAAUCACACCGGAACGCCGUCGGGACCCACUAAGUGUCCCGAAACUCACCGACUCAUACCUCGAGUCACCCACUGUCAUAAAACACAUCGAUUUGGAUAUCUUGGUAGCAAACACAAGAUAACACAACCAAACAAUUAUCACCGGAU